rnacentral:rRNA from 1 species
AGGGAAUAUUGGGCAAUGGAUGCAAGUCUGACCCAGCCAUGCCGCGUGCAGGAAGAAGGUCCUCUGGAUUGUAAACUGCUUUUUUGGGGGAAGAAGAGACAUCUUGCGAGGUGUUGUGACGGUACCCUAAGAAUAAGCCACGGCUAACUACGUGCCAGCAGCCGCGGUAAUACGUAGGUGGCAAGCGUUGUCCGGAUUUAUUGGGUUUAAAGGGUGCGUAGGUGGUUUGAUAAGUCAGUGGUGAAAGAUGGUUGCUCAACAAUCAAACUGCCAUUGAUACUGUUAGACUUGAGAGAAGUGGAGGCUGGUGGAAUGGAUGGUGUAGCGGUGAAAUUCAUAGAUAUCAUCCAGAACGUCAAUUGCGAAGGCAGCUGGCUGUACUUUUUCUGACACUGAGGCACGAAAGUGUGGGGAUCAAAC